GCAGGGAAUCUUGCGCAAUGGGCGAAAGCCUGACGCAGCAACGCCGCGUGGGGGAUGAAGGCCUUCGGGUUGUAAACCCCUUUCAGGAGGGAAGAAAUUGACGGUACCUCCAGAAGAAGGACCGGCCAACUACGUGCCAGCAGCCGCGGUAAGACGGAGGGUGCUAGCGUUGUUCGGAAUCACUGGGCGUAAAGGGCGCGUAGGCGGCCCAUGCCGUCGGCUCGUGAAAGCCCGGGGCUCAACCCCGGAGGUGCGGCCGAGACCCAUGGGCUGGAGGCCGGAAGAGGAGGGUGGAAUACCCAGUGUAGAGGUGAAAUUCGUAGAUAUUGGGUGGAACACCGGUGGCGAAAGCGGCUCUCUGGUCCGGUUCUGACGCUGAGGCACGAAAGCGUGGGGAGCAAACAGGAUUAGAAACCCUAGUAGUCC
rnacentral:rRNA from 1 species